rnacentral:rRNA from 1 species
AUUGAACGCUGGCGGCAUGCCUUACACAUGCAAGUCGAACGGUAACAGGUUAAGCUGACGAGUGGCGAACGGGUGAGUAAUGUAUCGGAACGUGCCCAGUCGUGGGGGAUAACUGCUCGAAAGAGCAGCUAAUACCGCAUACGACCUGAGGGCGAAAGCGGGGGGUCGCAAGACCUCGCGCGAUUGGAGCGGCCGAUAUCAGAUUAGGUAGUUGGUGAGGUAAAGGCUCACCAAGCCGACGAUCUGUAGCUGGUCUGAGAGGACGACCAGCCACACUGGGACUGAGACACGGCCCAGACUCCUACGGGAGGCAGCAGUGGGGAAUUUUGGACAAUGGGCGAAAGCCUGAUCCAGCCAUGCCGCGUGCGGGAAGAAGGCCUUCGGGUUGUAAACCGCUUUUGUCAGGGAAGAAAAGGUUCUGGCUAAUACCUGGGACUCAUGACGGUACCUGAAGAAUAAGCACCGGCUAACUACGUG